rnacentral:RNase_P_RNA from 1 species
GAAGCUGACCAGACAGUCGCCGCUUCGUCGUCGUCCUCUUCGGGGGAGACGGGCGGAGGGGAGGAAAGUCCGGGCUCCAUAGGGCAGGGUGCCAGGUAACGCCUGGGGGGGGAAACCUACGACCAGUGCAACAGAGAGCAAACCGCCGAUGGCCCGCGCAAGCGGGAUCAGGUAAGGGUGAAAGGGUGCGGUAAGAGCGCACCGCGCGGCUGGUAACAGUCCGUGGCACGGUAAACUCCACCCGGAGCAAGGCCAAAU